CGCACACAAAUGAUGUUCCUCUGCUCUCACAGCUACAUAGUUGUACUGAUGUAAAGCUGCUGUCUCCCAGUCUGUGCGACUGGGUGUCACGCUGUGGGAUCCCUGAGAUCUGUUCAGCCAACUCUGAUGAAAUGCCAGCCAUUUAUAGUCGCCUGGUAAAACACUACAUCUACGACAGGGUGACUAAAAUGAUCUCCCAGUUUACUGAGGGGCUGAAUAGCUGUGGUGGGCUGUGGGACAUGGUUCAGUCCCACUGGGAAAUUUUUGCCCCAGUUAUGACGAGUGCACCGCAGCAGCCUCUGAGUCUGGAAGAGUUCAAGCAGCUUUUUACCAUCAGCUUUAGCACUUCAGAUGCCCAACUGAGGGCAGAUGAGGAGGCCACAGCUGGACACUGGGAAACAAUCCUCACUUUAGUGCGUGGUAAGGUUGGAGGGUGUGGUGGAAAGAAUAAAGAUGCUUCUAGUGUUUCAGGUUAGAUAAAAUAUGUCUCUGUUUGCACAAUCAGACGGCAAGGCAGAGUUUUCCUUUGAAGACCUCCUCACCUUCAUCACAGGAGCUGACCGUUUGCCUCCUCUUGGCUUCCCCAGAUUCAUUUCUCUGUGUUUUUACUCUCAGGAUGCCAGCAUGCAAGAUUUGCGCCUGCCUCAUGCCGCCUCCUCUUCUCUGGAGCUCUACCUGCCAAGGGGAGUGGCUGGGGCUGUGGACCUGCUGGCCCUGUUAAACAGAGCUGUGCACAAGGUGCUGCGAGACGGAGAGGACAACUGAAGAGAAGUGAUGAUGAGAUUAUGAAGAGAAUUCCCUCUCACUGGAGAUUAAACGUUUCUGUGUGAUGUUAACAACAUGACUAAAAGGACGCAAUUUGCUCUGUGUGCACUUUGGUGCUGGUGACACGAUGCUGUAGAUUAGACCAGUGUUUGUAUUUUGUAAAGACCUCAGUCUGAUGGUUUUAAACCGUGUAGUGUUUAUAAUAGAACCUGUGCGCAUUUUUUGAUAAGUAGAAUCAUGUAUUUUAAAAGAACGGGAAGGAAUGGUACUCAACACACAAGGUCUUAGAUGUUUUUGGCAGGGCCAAGUCAGAGUUGAUGGAUCCAUGUUGAGUUUAUUUGUUGAUGCAGAUAAGGUGUGUUUUCUUUCAUUAAUUAUUAAAAUGGCACUUACGAAGAGCACAUUUAACAUUGAAUAGCAAUCUAUGUUUUCACUUUCUCUUGUAUUUUCUAACAGCUGUUGUUCUUGAUAUUCUGUAUAUGGGUAUAAAUCUGCUUUAAAUUCACA
ensembl:lncRNA